GAUGAACGCUGGCGGCGUGCUUGACACAUGCAAGUCGAACGGAAAGGCCCAAGCUUGCUUGGGUACUCGAGUGGCGAACGGGUGAGUAACACGUGGGUGAUCUGCCCUGCACUUCGGGAUAAGCCUGGGAAACUGGGUCUAAUACCGGAUAGGACCACAUUUUGGAUGGUGUGGUGGAAAGUUUUUCGGUGUGGGAUGAGCUCGCGGCCUAUCAGCUUGUUGGUGGGGUAAUGGCCUACCAAGGCGUCGACGGGUAGCCGGCCUGAGAGGGUGUACGGCCACAGUGGGACUGAGAUACGGCCCAGACUCCUACGGGAGGCAGCAGGGGGGAAUAUUGCACAAUGGGCGCAAGCCUGAUGCAGCGACGCCGCGUGGGGGAUGACGGCCUUCGGGUUGUAAACUCCUUUCGCUAGGGACGAAGCGUUAUGUGACGGUACCUGGAGAAGAAGCACCGGCUAACUACGUG
rnacentral:rRNA from 1 species